rnacentral:tRNA from 1 species
GCCGCCGUGGCGCAGUGGCCCAGCGUAUUGGCUGUACACGCGAUGGUUGUGGGUUCGAAUCCCACUCUUGGGA